GACGAACGCUGGCGGCGUGCUUAACACAUGCAAGUCGAGCGGAAAGGCCCCUUCGGGGGUACUCGAGCGGCGAACGGGUGAGUAACACGUGGGUAAUCAACCCCUGACAUCGGGAUACCCCGGGGAAACCCGGAUCAAUACCGGACAAGGUGCGGAGGCGCAGGCCGCCGUACCAAAGGUAGCUUCGGCGUCCGGUCAGGGACGAGCCCGCGGCCCAUUAGCUUGUUGGUGGGGUAAUGGCCCACCAAGGCGACGAUGGGUAGCUGGUCUGAGAGGACGAUCAGCCACACUGGGACUGGGACACGGCCCAGACUCCUACGGGAGGCAGCAGUGGGGAAUCUUGCGCAAUGGGCGGAAGCCUGACGCAGCAACGCCGCGUGCGGGAGGAAGGCCUUAGGGUCGUAAACCGCUUUCAGGGGGGACGAAGCUUCCGGGGUGAAUAGCCUACGGGGUGACGGUACUCCCAGAAGAAGGUCCGGCUAACUACGUGCCAGCAGCCGCGGUAA
rnacentral:rRNA from 1 species